rnacentral:RNase_P_RNA from 1 species
GAAGGUCGGUCUGUCGCCGUCGGCUAUGCCGAGGGAGGAAAGUCCGGGCAGUGCAGAGCAUCCCACUUCCUAACAGAAAGCUAUUCGUAAGAGUAGAGCUAUGCAGAAGAAAAUAACCGCCUCUGAAAAGAGGUAAGGGUGAGAAGGUGAGGUAAGAGCUCACCAGCCGUAUGGUGACAUACGGGCUGUGCAUCUUGGGAACUGUAAGAUCAUGUAAACCGGCGUUAAGAGAGUUGCUCGCUCCAGUUGGAGGGUGGAUUGCUAGAGCUUAUUGGCAACAAUGAGCGUAGAUAAAUGACAGACACCUUAUAUAUUAAGGAACAGAACCCGGCUUACAGACCCUCUGU